rnacentral:rRNA from 1 species
CCUACGGGAGGCAGCAGUGGGGAAUAUUGGACAAUGGGGGGAACCCUGAUCCAGCCAUGCCGCGUGUGUGAAGAAGGCCCUCGGGUUGUAAAGCACUUUCAGUGAGGAAGAACGCCUGGUGGUUAAUACCCAUCAGGAAAGACAUCACUCACAGAAGAAGCACCGGCUAACUCCGUGCCAGCAGCCGCGGUAAUACGGAGGGUGCGAGCGUUAAUCGGAAUUACUGGGCGUAAAGCGCGCGUAGGUGGCUUGAUAAGCCGGUUGUGAAAGCCCCGGGCUCAACCUGGGAACAGCAUCCGGAACUGUCAAGCUAGAGUGCAGGAGAGGAAGGUAGAAUUCCCGGUGUAGCGGUGAAAUGCGUAGAGAUCGGGAGGAAUACCAGUGGCGAAGGCGGCCUUCUGGACUGACACUGACACUGAGGUGCGAAAGCGUGGGUAGCAAACAGGAUUAGAUACCCUUGUAGUC